rnacentral:rRNA from 1 species
UACGUAGGUGGCAAGCGUUAUCCGGAAUUAUUGGGCGUAAAGCGCGCGUAGGCGGUUUUUUAAGUCUUGAUGUGAAGCCCACGGCUCAACCGUGGAGGGUCAUUGGAAACUGGAAAACUUGAGUGCAGAAGAGGAAAGUGGAAUUCCAUGUGUAGCGGUGAAAUGCGCAGAGAUAUGGAGGAACACCAGUGGCGAAGGCGACUUUCUGGUCUGUAACUGACGCUGAUGAUGCGAAAAGCGUGGGGGAUCAAAACAGGAUUAGAUACCCCCGUAGUCC